UUCCCUGCACUCUUCUUGAAGGAUUCAAUGUUCCAUUGAGACUUAUGUAAAUUGCCUUGAAGUCUGGGACAUUUGUAAUUUGCCUUUCUUCAUAAUUUUAGACAAUAUAUAUUUGUAUUAAAUACCCAAUAAAAAGGAAGAAAACAUAAGUAUAAUGAAAUGCUUUAUUGCCUUUAGUAAAAAGUAUCAAUGCUUACUCUAUAAAAAUAUUUAAAAAAGUAACAAAUCUCAUAAGAAACUGGCAUAUGGAAUGAUAGUGUUAGUUCAUUUAACUUUCUGUAUUUAUGGUUUUCACAUUCUAUACCACAAAGUUAUAAAAUCCUGUAGCAAAAUAUUUCAAGAAAAGGAGGCAAGCUAUUGUUUCAUUGAUGGUUCAAAGACUGAACCAGUCAUAAAUUCUUCAGAACUUUGAAAAUUUAAAUAUAUAAGUUGUUCUUGUAUGAUGUUUUGAAGUCUGAGAUUGCUCUUUUAACAAGUUUCUAAAGCAAUAUUAGAUUUAUAGAUCUCUUGAGAAAUUGGGUCCUGUACUGAAACAAUGUGUGUAAAAAUACCAUUGAAACAUUUAUUAUACCCAUUACAAAUCAUGGCCCAACAGUGAGGCUGUACGUUUUGCCACCAAUACAAACAAUAUGACAGACUAAAUUUCAUUAUAAAUAAUCGACUGACAGCUUAUUCAAUAUUACUUUGUUUUAAAAGAGAACAAAAGUACAAAACUAGAUGAACUGAACCAGAUAGUUAAUUUCAAUGGUAUUUUCAGAUGUUGUGUAGCAGGAUACACCUAACUAAACAAUAAUAAAAUACAUAAAUGCAAUAUACAUGUGUGUUCUUUAACAAGGUGUAACAUAUGUAUCUGCUAACAAAUAAUAACUCUACAAAAUCAGUAGUCCAAAUAAUUAUGACGUCUUGAAAGGCUAUUAUAAUUUGUUUCUUUACUACAAAUUCAGUAACUAAUAAGACUAUGUCUAGAAUGGCUGAUUGUGAGUUGUGAUAGAAUAAUUUUUUACUUGUGCCAUUUUCACAAUAUAUACAACCAUUAAAUAAUCUAAAGAACAGAUUUAAAUUAUCUGAAAAAAAGUAACCCUGAAUGUCUUAAACAAUUAUAUUAUCAUGAUUAUCUUUGAUACUGAGAAAAAAUCAUUGAGGAGAAAAAAUCCUGUUUUUUUUUUUAAUUAUCUACUGAAAACAGUAGUCCAUGUAUUGCAUAACUCCCACCAAAUACUCCAUAUCCCUUCUUAAUGAUUAAUUGGUGUUCAAUGCCACUUUCAGCACUAUAAGCUUUUUUUAUAUAUUGGUGGAGGAAACCAGAGUGCCCUGUAGAAUAAUAGAAGCUGAGGACCCUAGUAAUUAAGGUGGUACCUAACACUACAGGGAGAUAACUCUGUAAAGUCAGCUAAACGUUUUAAUUACAGUGUGUUGUAAAGGGAAUAUUAAGCUUCUCAAUGAUCAAAAUUGGUGUUUGUCAAACUGCUAUAUAAUCAGUGUAAUUUUCUGACAAAAUGGUUGGUUCAAAAUUUUUGAAAUUUUUGUUAAAGGGUCAAAGUAAAUACAUUGUCAAAAUUUUAUGAAAAUUAAACGAGCCAAAUUAAUUUUAGUGAAAGUGUUGGGUACCACCUUAAGAUUGGAGUCAAACACACCUACCACAUGGGGGAGGGUUUGAACUCACAACCUCAGUGUUGACAGGCUACUGACACAACAGAUGAACCUUCAUAGGCCACUUACCCAAAGACGUCCCUACUACUUAAUGAUGCUGAUACAUACAUAAUAUAAUAUCAAGAUGUUAAUCAAUUGUCUAUAUAAAAAUUGCUGGGCUAUUUGACCCUGUCUGUUUGAAUGAACCCAUAUCCGGUAAGUUUAAUAAAAAAACAACAAAUGAUAAUAUCAAUCAAUUACCACUAACAUGUAAAUUCUGUGAUGAAGAUUAAUGAAUAUUUCAUUUUGGGGAUUAGAAACUACAAUUUUUUUUAUCUAGCAUAUCUUCUGAUAAUUUUUUGAGAAAGUCAUCAUUAAAAUUAUUUAUAAAUUUCAAAUUACUAAUUAGAAAAAUAUGAUCAUAAUGUUUGUGUUCUAAAUAAAAUGUAAAAAUUAAUGAUUUGUACACAUAUAUAUUACAAUGUACCAUUUUUCAACUGCCUCAUUCUUACUGGUAGUAAAGUUUUAAAUGAGUUUUGUAUGCUGAACAUCAUCAAUUCUAAGUAAUAGAAAGAAAAGCUAAACAAUAUAUCUUUAUCUACAAUAUGUUUCACUGUAAUCAAUAAAUUCACCAUAGAUCAACAUCAAUGUUUCCUCAAAAAUAGGAAUACUUAAAAUUUAUGCAUUCAGUGAACAUAGUUGAAUAGGGGAAAUGGAAUGCAUGAAAAGGGGAUGAAAAAAUGGAAUUUGAUAUUUUUAGCAAAUGAUUUCUUUGAAACCAUGAAGCAAAAAGUUCCAUUCAUAAAUAACAGCGAUAUAUAUUAGUCAACAAGGCACCUAAUUUGUUAUGACUAGAACUAAACAACUCAUAUUUACAUAUCUGGAUUUCAAAAAAACACAUAUCACAAAAUAAGCACACAACCUCCUUCUAAACAGUCCAAAAUAAAACAUGGGAUCAAUGAUUUAGUAUUAUAACACACCAAAAUGGCAACUGAAGGAAUAAUUCCUAAACAAAACAUGGAAUGCAAAGAUAAAAUGUUGCAACACGACAAAUACAGCAACAAAUGGAAUGUAGUGAACUGCUCAAUAAUGAUCAUCAAUGGAAAUGCAUAACUUCUGUUUAUUCAGAAAUAAUAUAAAAAAAAAUUAUUAGUGUGAACCAUUAACUGGUUAUAGAUUGUUUUAUUCAAUUCUCAAUUUUUAUUUCUAGAUACAAAACAAAUAAAUGAGAAUGAAUAAAUUUAGUAAAAUAUUGAGGGUUUUGUAAUAACUUUAUAAAAAUCUUCUAAAAUGAUAUUCAUGAUUGUAAAUUAAACUUGACUGUGUAAAUGAUUGUUUAGUGAUGAGGGGUUGAGAGGGUCAAUAAAUAAAUGGGGAAAAAAUGUUCUUUUUAGGAUGAAAAUCUAUAUAAAAUUUCUGCAUGUAUUUAUCAAAGUAAACUG
rnacentral:lncRNA from 1 species